AGGGAAUCUUCCACAAUGGACGAAAGUCUGAUGGAGCAACGCCGCGUGAGCGAUGAAGGCCUUCGGGUCGUAAAGCUCUGUUGUUAGGGAAGAACAAGUAUUGGAGUAACUGCCGGUACCUUGACGGUACCUAACCAGAAAGCCACGGCUAACUACGUGCCAGCAGCCGCGGUAAUACGUAGGUGGCAAGCGUUGUCCGGAAUUAUUGGGCGUAAAGCGCGCGCAGGCGGUCCUUUAAGUCUGAUGUGAAAGCCCACGGCUCAACCGUGGAGGGUCAUUGGAAACUGGGGGACUUGAGUGCAGAAGAGGAAAGCGGAAUUCCACGUGUAGCGGUGAAAUGCGUAGAGAUGUGGAGGAACACCAGUGGCGAAGGCGGCUUUCUGGUCUGUAACUGACGCUGAGGCGCGAAAGCGUGGGGAGCAAAC
rnacentral:rRNA from 1 species